UUUCCUUCUCCGGACGACCAUUGCAGGGCAUUCUAUGCAGAGAGGAGUCCGUGGUGGUUGGUGAUCAAGGGUGUUGGGAUUCCUGGGCAUGGAGCCAAACUUUAUGAUAACUCUGCUAUGGAGAAUCUUUUGAAGAGUAUUGAGACCAUCCGAAAGUAGCGUGCCUCACAGUUUGACUUGAUAAACUCCGGCUUGAAGGAUCUUGGGGAAGUUGUUUCUAUUAACCCGGUCUUUUUGAAAGCUGGAACUCCAUCACCAAUAGGUUUUGUCAUGAAUUUGCAUCAAUCUGAAGCAGAAGCUGGAUUUGAUAUUAGAGUGCCACCAACUACGGAUACAAAAUCACUGGAGAGGUGAAUUGCCGAAGAGUGGGCGCCUACUUGGCGUAAUAUGAAAUUAUUGAUAUGUGUGAUUAUUCUGUUGGGCUGAGCCGACAAUUGAAGGGAUCAAUUAUCCCAUCAGAAUGUCCAGAGCAUAUGAUGUUUGAGGUAUGGAACCCCCUGGGAACCGUAGGUGUAAUCACUGCUUUCAAUUUUCCAUGUGCUGUAAUAGGUAUGCUUUUUGUUUUCCUAUCUCAACACUCACAUUAAUAAACUUCUGG